AUUCAUUAAAUAUUUCUACAACCAUUGAAUUUAUGCUAAGAUUUUAGAUACACUGCAUCAUCAUUUAUGAGUAUUCAUGUUACACCAUAGUUAUUCAUCCACAAACAUUUCCUCCUCCUUCCAUGUUAAUUAUGCUCAUAUUGAUCUUUUCUUGUAAGCUUUCUCCUACUGCACAAUCUUUAUCAGGUAUUUUUCAAUAAAUAUUUUUCUAAUUUGUAUCAGAAAUUAUGGUCAUAUAUUUAGUUAACAGACAUCUGAGGAUUUGAAUAUUUUUAACUAUAGUUGUCAACAACUCUUUCUCAAGGAUUGGAUCAGAAUUUAUUGGAGAUACAAAAGAGCAAAGAAGAUCAAUCGACUACUCUUCACGCUUGCGAAUUGUAAGAUAUUAAAUUUCUAUUGCUUUCCUUCUUUCCAAAGUCUCUAAGUUCUUGAGUUUAUAUAACGGCUGAAUUAUUAGUCCAUUUUGAUUUUACCUUGUUAUAGUUUGCUGUAAACACGGGUCCAAUUUACUAAUAAACUUUAUUGGUAAAUUGGGAGAGAAGAGGGAUUAAGAAACUGGGAAUGAAUAUGUUAGAUUAGGACGACUUUGGGUAUUUAAAACGAGUUGGGGGAGUUAUAUAAGUUAAAGGACUAGUUUUCCCCUGAUUUUGUAAGAGAACAACGGAAUUUUUACAUCUGGGAGAGCGAGGGUUGCGUCACAUGCCAAUUCUGCGGCCCUAGCCAUGCCUCCCACAGCCAAUCCUGCGGAAUCAGUUGUGCCUCGCAGGGCCAUCGCGCAUCUUGGAUAGUGUCUCACGAAAAUGCCCAUAACUUUUUACUCCAAACUCGAAAUGACAAGCCAUCAGUAGCCAUCAGUUGCGUUAGAAACAAGACUCAAAUACCUUUAAAUUGAUAGAUAGUAGGCCACCUAACUCGUUAUAUUCUAGGAAUAGUGGUCAUUGGAUGUUGACCCAAGUAAGAACGUCUACUAAAACUCAAUCGAUAGGAAAGUUCUCAACUCAAUUUUGAGCUAGAAGAUUUCUCUGACCUCAAUUCAUCUCGAAAGAUGUUUCCAUACUAAAGAAUUGAUCUUCACACUUGUAUCUAAAUAGAAAUCAUUGGGUCCAAUCUAUACACAUAGGAAGGACAGUUGAAAUUAUAACCCAAAAAUGUGGGGUUUUAUAUUAUCUCCUCCUUGGGAUCACUCGUCCUCGAAUGAUGGAUAGAAACUUAUUGAAUCUCUAGAAGUAAGGAAUAAAUAAUAACUUCAUAUUAGAAAUUUUCCCUAACAAAACAUACAUAGGCAUCAAAAAGAGCUUCAUGACAACACCAAUUAAAUUAUGUAGACACAAAUCAUGAGAUAAUGAGACUUGACAUAGACAUGAUCUUGGGCAUGAGUUCGAUGGAACAUGAUCAUAAUAAAAUGAGGUGUGAAUUUAUUUGGUGAUCAUAGGUCUUGAUUUAUAUUGAUACUUGACAUGAAAUAAGGUUUUGUUGGACAGAGGAAUAGAAGUACUCUCCACUUCAAAUGUUACGGCCAAUAGCCCUUACAUUUUGUAUUACUUCUCAACUCUGUAGUUUACUACGAGUAACACACUUCAUCAUUUUCAACUUAUAAAUCCCCUACAAAACACAUAACUAUAGGGACUAAGCCUCACUACAUAGUGCUUGAAUGUUGAAGCCUAACCUAGAGCUAAAAGGUACUAGCUUAAGCUAUGGGACCUUGUUCUAAAAAACCUCAUAUCUUAAUCAAGAAGUACUGGCCACAUAACACAAUGGUUUGCAUGUCUAUCAAUUACAAUACUCAAAAGAACCGAGGACCCUUUGGUGACCACUCUCGGAUUGACUAUCUAGAAUAAGAAAGAAGAGAAUACAAUGUGUUUAAAACACCAAUCAACCAACAACCCAAACUAUAUUAGCAACAAAGAGAUGAAGAAUAAAAUAUUACAAUAACAAUGACUCACAGGUUCAUUAAAAAGAACAAGAAAUCAAAACUUACAACAAGAUAAAAGAUAGAUAGUUAGACAAGUGAGGGUAUAAUCUUAAGAACCCAAAAAUUUGGUGGACUCUUGGACCCUUAACACUACACACAACAAACACCUAAUUCCUGAGUUGACUCAAGAGGGAAUUUACCUCCUCUAAAAACCAACGUAUCAAGCCAACAAUGCAAACACAAGUGAAUCUUCACUUGCCUAGCCCUAGUUUCAGUUUUGAGUUCACUCUCAAAACUAAGUGAGAACAUUGGAUGUUACAAUGUCUCAAGUUUCAACAAUAAUCUCCUAAGUCCCCCAAAUCCUAAGUUGUUCUAUUUAUAUUACAUCAUAAAUAAAAGAUGAAAAGACAAAAAGGCCCUUUAAUGAGCAAGUGAGCAAUAGGCGCCUAUGUAGUGCACAUUAUGGACUGUUUUGGAGCCUCCUUCACAUUUAAAUGUGUGCACUUUCUUGGUUGUAUUCAACAUGCUCAAAAAUUUCCAUCUACGAGGUUGUACUUGUAUCAUCCUCUCCAUCUUGAAAGGAGUUUGACCUCAAACUCAUGGCUUCAUCAACCUCACAGCUUCUCCAUAGAAUCACUUCCUCAUUUUCUGUCCCAAAGCUUGGAUGCUUAGCCAAAGGCUCCUUGAGAUAUUCAAGCAUGUGUUGGUGAGAAAUCUUCUUGGUAUCCCCCCUAGAAAGCACAUGAUCAUAAACCUGCACACAAGAAAAGGCGGUACAAUGCAAAAUGCUAGUACCUACAUUAGUGAGAAAUAAAGGAUCCCCGAGGGUAAGUCCCAAAAGUGAGGAACCCUUUCCUUUUUUAUCCUUGGUUCCCUUCCCUUCUCCUCUACUGCCACUCUUGGUCUUUCCCUUUCUCUCCUUCUUCCUCUCUUCCUCCAACUCUCUCACUUGUUGAUUAACUUCAGCCACUUGUAUCAGUGAGAGAGGGUGGAGUGUAUAUCUUCGACCAUGGAGCUCCAAAGUGUAGAUAUUGGUUCAUCCAUCAUGCACGGUAGCUCUAUCAUGUUGCCAUGGUCUCCCCAGUAAUAGGUGGCACGCUUGCAUAGGAAUAAUAUCACACAACACCUUGUCAAAAUAGUUGCCUACAUUAAACCAUAUCACCACUUGUCGGUUUACCUUUAACUCCCCACACUCAUUCAACCAUUGAAGGUUGUAUGGGUUUUAAUGACGGAUAGUGGAUAGGCUCAAGACGUCAACCAAGGUACUACUAGCAAUAUUGGCACAACUAUCUCCAUCAAUGAUCAUGGAACACACAACUCCCUUAAUAAGGUAUUUGGUGUUAAAAAGGUUUUCCCUUUGACUAGGAUCAACCAAAGCCUUACUAAUCAUGGCCCUUCUCACUACAAAACACUGCACCUGAAGUUCACCAUUACAUGGCCAAGCAUCUUCCUCCUCCUCUUCCUUUGGCCUCCCGGGUUCUACUCUCUCUCCAUCUUGAGAUUGAUCAUCAAUCUCCGUUGGUUCAAGUCCUACCUCCUCCCCAUGAAAGUAUAAUUUACCUUCUCUUAGGAUCACAUUUAUUCUAUUUGGACACUCAUUAGACUUGUUUCCCCAACCUUGGCAUUUAAUACAUUGAAAACUCUUAGCAUUAAGAAAGGAAUACAAUUUACCUUCAUUUCUCAGAGGGAACGUUUGGUGAGCCUUAUUCUCGACUUGGGCAGCCUUGUCCUCAAGUUGCUACACAUUAGAUGAGUCAUUCUUGUACUUGUUCCAACCCGAGAGUGAUUUCCUCUUAUGCUUAUAACCCAGUUUCUCCCGUAACUCUCUUUUAAUCUCCAAGGCGGCUUAGAAGAUGGCAUCAAUGGUGUCGAACUUGUGAAGUUUCAAUCGUAAGGCAAUAUAUAUAUUCAAUACCACCUUAAAUCAGAUGAUGUCGUGACUUACUUGCUCCCCUCUAUGAUCAAGUUUCAAAAUGAGUUAAUGAAACUCAUCAUAGUAAGCCACGACAUUCUUUUUCCCUUGCCUUAAGUUAUAAAACUUGGCAAGGAGCUCUUGUUGAUAUAUUUUGGGUAGGUACCUUUGUAUCAUGAGGUACCUUAACCGAAACCAAGGAGGGGGCUACCCCUCAACCAAAACAUUACCAAAAUGCUUAACAUAGUCCCACCAUGUAGUAGCAUAACCCUCAAAGUGAGCAAUCCCAUAGCAACUCUUCUUCUCCUCGGUAAGAUCAUUGACAUGGAAGACCCUCUCAUAUACGGAUUCCCAUGAAAGAAAAUCUUUGGGAUCACUCUCACCUCUGAAUAUUGGAAGCCCCAUGUUAAUGAUAUUUAGUCCUACAUCACGGUUUUGGUUCCCUUGUUGGUUUCAAUGACCAACUCUACCUUCUCAGCCAUGAACUUCCCUUGGAUCACCAUGCCUUCCUCUUAUCUCUCCCCCUAUCAUGUAAGCAUCAUCAUACGACCCAGCCAUCAUGUUGUCCUACCCUACCAUAGCCCUCAACAUGGAUGGGUCUACUUGGAGCUUAUAGUGGCAGGAUUGGAUUUGGGUAUUAAGGUCUUUGGUCAAGUGGAGUUUGGAUGAGAGGGUUUAGGUUUGGUGGUGGUAUUUAGGUUCCAAGCGCUUCUUGUUGGACUUAGUGGAGUGGAGGGUGGCGUGGUCUAUUUAGUUCUCAACUUCGGGAGUAAAGAUUCAUUUGAUUUGUGGCAAUUGGUGGAUAUAGCAUUUGGUGCAAGGUCUCGGGAGUAUUAGUUGGGGAAAUGUUGAGGGGUGGAAGGUCGAAUCCUUUGGAUUUCCACACGUUCUAAUCUCCCACUCAUUGAUGCCACAUCCGUAUCUAAUUUCUCAAGACCCACAUUAAACCUAGCCACAUCUCGGGACGUAGUUUUAAGGUGAGCCAAAAUGAGAUAGAUGGCAUUAUUGUCCGUUGUUUGAGAAUUUUAAGCCUCUGGUUCCAUUAUGGUUGCACCAAAAAUAACCCUUCAAGUUACGGUCCAAAAGACUCCAAAUCAGUCCACAACGUCACACACAACAAUACAACCCAAAUACAACAAGAUAAAAUACACACUAGUUCAAAAUAACCUCACUACACUCUCACAAACUUUGUGGUCUCACACUUGAUUUCACCAAUGUUUGCAAGUCUGCUUCUAACUCGUGGUGGGUUAAAGAGUAAGUCUACUCCUUAGUCAGAAUGGAUUCUUUGUUUGAUGACUCGAGGAAGUAAUGUCCGAACUUGAACCAAGAAGUACUAUAAUUUAAAAAUGACAAAAGUACAAAAGAAACGUAGACACGAACAACGGAUUCAAGAACUAAGUGACAACCUAGUAGAAGUUUACUAGUGUAACACCCCAUAUUUUGGGCUUGAAUAAAAACCAUGAUUUUGAUUCUUGAUAAUUCCAAAGCCAUAAAUCCUAUGCCAAUAUAGCAUGUUAAUUAAUUUUUUAGUAUGUGAAUCCAUUCAAGCUUGAAUUUAGAUCAUAGAGGUCCUUCAACUCAAGGAAGAGUUGAAACUAUUUUGAUCUAUUAAGUUUUAGUGGACGUUGUAAUUUGUGUAAUCUUCCAUCAACCAUAACUCUCUAUAUAUGUCGAAAUAGAGAGCUUACUAUGUGUAAAAUGAUAGGUCUUCAAGUUAGCUUUCCAACGAUAUUAAUUUUGCUAAAAUUCGACACCCGAGCAAGAAGUUAUGACCUUUCAAAGUAGUAGGCGGCGCCUAUGUAAACAUAGGUGAUAGCAUAGGCACCGCCUAUGUGAAACAUAGGAGAUAGCAUAGGCACCGCCUAUGUAAACAUAGGCGAUAGCAUAGGCACCGCCUAUGUAAGGAAUUCUUGUGACUUAAACACUCUGUUUUUGGGGCAAAAUAGUCCUUUUUCACCCUUAUUUUGCCAUAAACAUGAAAUUCAGUUCCCAAAGACCCCAAAAUACACCUUCAUUCAUCAAAAUUGUUCAAUAACUCUCUCUAGGGUUUCAAAAUAAAAACCCAAAUAGUUUAAGAUUCAACCAUGGAUUUUCAAAAUAAAUUGAAGAUUUGGAAUCUCUGCAACGUAGGCUUCAAGAAGCACCUAUCAUAUUCGCAUAUAAAGGUACGUGGGGUUAUCCAAAAAUCUCAUGGGUGUAGUUUUUAUGAACAUGCAUGCUUUUAAAUGGGUGUUUUCAAUCAAAUGCUAAUAACUUGCUUUCAAUAUGAUUUCUAAGUCAUUUUCUUUAUGUCAUGGGAAUUGUUUGCCUAUAUACUUCAAUGGUUGAAACCAUGCAUGUGAUUUGAGAUUUUCCAUGAAAGUUUGAUAAAUAUGAAUGAUAAAUUGUUUUCAAAUUCCCAUGAUAAUGUUUCAAUACCUCAUAUCAUAUGUGAUCAACAAAAGAGAGCAUGAAUUUGAAAUAAAUAUUGUUCACUACUUGUAAAUAAUGAAGCACCUUGAUUUUUACAUGGUUAUGCAUAUAUGGAAGUGAUAUUGAGGACGUGCAAGUCGGGUAUGAUGAUACCUUACAGAAUAUGAUAUGUGAUUGAAUAAGAUGAAAUUUGAAUGCAUUGAUUUUACAUAAGAAAGGUGAAUGCCCAAAGAAGGCGUUUGAGACACAAGGGCUCAUCGCUGAAAAAUGUGUUUGCCGACAUGGAAUAUUGGUACCAGGCUAAGUUAUCUUGUGUACUUGACUUUAUGUCAUUCCCAAAUUGGGACUAUAGGUAGGAGCUCGGGCUAAGUGAUCUUGGGCACUACCAUUGGGUAGAGACACCAUGCUGUGUGAUCUUAUGUGUCUUCCCCUAACGUAUACUCUAAUCUCGGCGGCAAUCGGGGUUUGACGGUGUAAAUUAUGUAGGGUAUUCCACCUAGCUCAGUUGCAUUUCAUUGAUUGUUGAGAAAACUAUUGCAUUACACCCAUGUGCUUUCAAAUGAUUUGAUACGAAAUUGCUUUAUAAUGGCUCUCAACUAUAUUUUGUAAAAGUAUUAUCUUUUGUUUUGAGAUCUUUGUGUGCUAGUACUUUUGUGCUGACCCCCUCCCCUCUCUAACCUCACAGAUUCAGAGGCCUAGUCUAAGGGUCAAGAGAAUUAGUAGAUCACUCAGACAGAGUUGUAGAGACAAGUGGUAAGCCUUCUAUGUUUUGGAAGGUCUUAUGUCCUGCAUUCCUUUUAUCUUAUAUUCAUUUUUGGGGGUCUUUUGGGGGCCUUGUCCUAGUUUUCAGAUAGAAAUUAUUUCAGUCAUGUAGUCAAGAUUUCGCAGACGGUUUUAGAGAUUUUGAUUUAGAUUGUGGGACACUAUUCCCCAUUUUCAUUUUCAUAUGAUUCUUGACCAUAUUUUCAUUAUAUUGUGUUUCUUCUGCAUUACUUUGAUCAUAUGAAUUAGGUGCAUGAUUACCAGACAGAUAUGGGUGUUUUGGGUCUCCAUGGUUUGAAAUGCUCAUCACGGCCAGGCCCUAGUUUGGGUCAUGAUAAACUUGGUAUCAAAGCACGGUUCAUGGUCCCAGGGUGUCUGCGAAAUCGCAUUGGGUAGAGUCUUGUUUAUGGGUGUGUAGUGCACCACACUUAUAAGAAGGAGGCUACUAGGAGUUUAGGAAUGUAUCCCAUUCGUCAUGUUUUUAUUUGUGCAAUAGUUUCAGAAUGUUCCUCUUUAAUACUCAAAUUCAUGCUAUGGUGUCACCCAUACGAAAGUAACAGUCAUCCCAAUUCUUUCCUUAGUCGGACAUUCUCAGACAUGUCUCAAUCAUUGGGCUGAUUCAAGUACAAGAGUUUAGAGUCUAAAUGGUAUGGUUCGUUCUGAUCGAAUUAUAUAAUAUUUUUACAAGGACUUGAGAAGAGUCCGUUAUUGCUUCAGAGUGUAUGGGUUCUAGUGUGAACCUUGAUCUUGAUGAAAUCAUGCUUUUUAGCCUUCUGUAUUGAACAUAUUCGACCCUUUUUAGAAAUUUAUGUUGCAGAUGUCAUUCUUUAGGGAAACGAUGUGUAGGAGUGUUGGAAUUGUAUUUCCACCCAAAUAGUAGUAUAAGUUAAAGUGUCAGUGUCAUGACCUGUUUGUAGCUAGUAGCGUGUGUGAAUUGUAUCAUAAUCUGUGGGGUGAAAUAUUUGACUCAAAUUUUUAUUUAUUCAGAGUAAGAUGUGUAUUCUUAGUUCAUCGGAUAUUGCAUAUUAAAUUUCUAUCUCAUGUAAUCUUGUCAUCAAAGUGUAGUUGAAAAAAAAAUAUAGUCCAGUGAAGCCGUGUGGGGCUCUUUCGAUUCAUUAGCAUAGUUGCCUUGUCAUUCAUCUCAUUUUCUUGUUCAAAAACACAAAAAUCAAAGUCUAGUGAAGCCAUGUGAGGCCUGUUUUGAUUCACUAGCAACUUGUUGUCCAACUUGUUGUUCUUUCAUUGGUUUAAUAUAUGUCUGGCUGAAUCUACUUGCAUGAGAUAAAGUUGGUAAUAAAGUGAUUCGUCCUUGUGUGUUAUUAGUAGAAGGUAGAGAAGGAGUUGUUGGUUAGGGUUUGUUGGUUGCUUGAAUGUGAAAAUGGCUAUAUUAGCGAGUAAGUUAUGAUUAUAGACUCAUGGUUGUUUGAGGAAUUUGAAGCCAAUCUAAAUGUAUGAUUGAGUGAGUAAGUAUGAGGUGAGAAAUCCGUUUAAGUAGAAAAGAUUGUAUGGGGUUAUAAUAUAAGAUUAAGGUUGAUCAUGUCUAUUAUGUGACCUUACCCCUUGACCUUCUUUUGCUGGUAGUUGUAAACUAGUGCUACUUGUGAGAAGGUAUGUAGUAGAUUUUUGAGAUAUUUGGGUAGAAUGUCCCAAUUUGAUGGAUUAGUAUAUUUAUAUUAUGUUGCAUUCUUCAUUGGUGGUAGAUGACUGAUACUAAGCUAUAGGCUUUAAUUUAAAUGGUGUGGUGGUAAAUAGUGGCAAGAGUUUGAUGAUGCAUGUUUUGUGGGAUUAAAUUAGUAGGCUUGAGGUGCUGAAAUAGUAUAUGCUAACAGAUUAUGAUAAGGAAGACCGUAAGGUCAAGGUCAAUUAUUGUUGUUAUGAAGCUCUAGUGUACUAGUGUUUCUUGAUGUUUAUUUCAUGGUUUCAAAGUGAUAAUCAUGCGUAAGGUUGGGUUGUAAAAUCAUGUUUAGCACUAGACAUUAAGUUUGAAUAGUUGAAGUUCAUAAAGGUGGAUGUGAUGAUUUCUUGAUCAAUGAUGUUAGUUACAUGAAAGUGUUCUAAUAGGCUUGAACGGUGUAUGAAAUGGCUUCAGUUUAAAUUGAUUCGUAAUGAAGUAUAAUGUUGUAGGUAUGGUGUGUAUGUAUGCCCAAGGCGAUAUGGAGUUGUGACAUUUCUCUAAGACUAUUACAUGUUAUGUGUGACUAGUGGUACUGUGGAGUUGCUAGUUGGAAAAAGACUAGUUAGAUGGUACAUGGUGUUUUAGAUGGCUAAGUUAAGGAGCCUUAUAGAUAGUGUUGAGCCUUUUGAUGUGAUCUCGAUUUUCACAAUAGAGAGAUAUAAGUUUGGAGUAGAAAUAUUGGUAUGCUAGGAUGGAAGUGGUAUGGUUCAUCAAAGGCUUGGUGAUAUCCAUGUUCAGUGUUAGAAUCUAAGUUUGAGUUUUGAAGGUUGAACUGAUAUAAAUAAGUGUGCAAGCAUUAUACUAUAACUAUUGGUAGAUAUGGAAAGAUAGAGUGUAUCCCAGAAGGUAGUCAUUCGGGUUGAGUUCUAUGAUAUACAUGUAUUGUCAAUUUUUUUCAGACCUUAGAGUGCAGUAAGUGUAGUUCAGUUAGAAUCUGGUAAGGGAUCUCCCAAACGCUAGAUGAUGACUUAAAGCUAAGGGGGAGAUGAUAGAACGAAUACCCAAGUAAGGCUCACAAAUUCUAGUAGUGAUGCAAUAUGAUUUAGAACAUCAGAAAGUGAGGAAGAAUCUCAACCCAUUCCUACCUCAGUAUUUUUUUGUUAUCCGGAUACUUACUCAUGCCGUACGAUUCAGUUCUGUGAUAAUAGUUCAUGAUUUCGAGAUAUGAUAGAGAGUCACGUACUUUUCCAGUUCUAAGAUAAUGAGUUCUAGUUCAUUCAAGUAGUUGGAAUCACAUUCCUUAUGUUAUGAACUCUAGUUUAGGUCAUGCAACUCAUGACGGAUGUACUCACUCUUUAUAUUGUGCUCAGUCUCGUAUAAAGAUCUUUUCAUGCUUGAUGGUCUUAUGUUUUAACCUUUUAGUGACCCUUCCUAUGCAAUGAUAGUGGUGAUGAUGUAAAUGUUCUUGUUGAUGAAAGAUCAUAGUAUGCUUGUUUAGAUAAGGCAAUAAGUAUGAAGUAAGAUUUGGGGCCAAGUCUUUGAUACAUGUGAUGUUAGUGGCAAAGUUUGUGUGUGUAUGUCUUAGGGUGGCACGUGGGAGUUAUAAUGACAAUAGUUUAGAAACUAUGUGAAGUAUGUAUUUAUGUGUGGUUGCCUUAAAUUUAACAUGUGGUUAUAAAUUAGGCUUGAAUGACAUUUUGGGAUUGUAGCGGAAGGUGGCAAUAUGCAUUAGCGACUUCAUAUUAAGAGUUCAGAGUAGUCAUUGAAGUGGUAUGGCAUGUUAUACUUAGGAUGUGAUCUUUAAAGGAGAUAUAGAAGAUUNNNNNNNNNNNNNNNNNNNNNNNNNNNNNNNNNNNNNNNNNNNNNNNNNNNNNNNNNNNNNNNNNNNNNNNNNNNNNNNNNNNNNNNNNNNNNNNNNNNNNNNNNNNNNNNNNNNNNNNNNNNNNNNNNNNNNNNNNNNNNNNNNNNNNNNNNNNNNNNNNNNNNNNNNNNNNNNNNNNNNNNNNNNNNNNNNNNNNNNNNNNNNNNNNNNNNNNNNNNNNNNNNNNNNNNNNNNNNNNNNNNNNNNNNNNNNNNNNNNNNNNNNNNNNNNNNNNNNNNNNNNNNNNNNNNNNNNNNNNNNNNNNNNNNNNNNNNNNNNNNNNNNNNNNNNNNNNNNNNNNNNNNNNNNNNNNNNNNNNNNNNNNNNNNNNNNNNNNNNNNNNNCGUACCCAAGAUGCAUGGCUCCCUAUUACUGCUAGAGCUUCCUUAGAGAGAGUGUUGAAGAGAAUACUCCAGUUAAGUAUGAGGGUUUAGUAUAAUUCAGUCUGUAUGACCAAUAAGUCAAUUUAGUAGUCAGAUUCGCAUGGCUUGUUUUCUCGUCUUUGCACUUAUUCAUGCUACUCGAAAUCUCAGACAUGCUACUAUUCCAAGAUAGAGUAUACCAGUAGUUAUAAGUAUAGCCCAGUUCAUGUAUCAUGCAUUAAAUUCAGAUUCCAAAUGUUUAGUUAUGAUUCAAUUCGUAGGUGCCCUGUGCAUCGCCUCAGUUUUUUGAGUAUCUUAGUGAAUUGAACAUUCAUAGAGGGACAUAAGGUCCCAAGGGGGAGAUACCUCAUUUAGCUGCAUGCAUAAAUUCUUAUUAGAAUCUCCGCACCAGUUGUCAUUACGUAUUCAGUCAUACAUUCAUACAUCAGUUCAGUCAGAUAUGCAUGUAUUAGAAAUGCAUGUUCAAUAGAAAAUUUUCAAGUUACCAGUGUGUUUAGUCCUGUGUUCAUGAGAACAACUCAGUAACAAAUCCAUGCAUCAGGUAUGCAUGUUCAUUAUGAGAAUUCAGCUUACAAGUAGCUUUAGUCGUGUAUUCCAUGCAUCAGAUAUGCAUGUCCAGUAUAAGAAUUCAGAACAUCAGUAGUUUCAGCCAUAUGGUCAUGUUUCAGAUCAGUGUAUUCUUUAUUAGAGGACAUGUCGUGUCUGCGUUAUUCCAUACUUCUAAGCUUCAAUAUGUUCUUACCCAUCAUUCGAGGAGGAAUGAUCCCAAGGGGGAGAUAAUGUAACACCCCGCAUUUUGGGCUAGAAUAAAAACCAUGAUUUCGAUGCGUUGAUAAUCCCGAAGCCAUAAAUACUAUGCCAAUAUGGCAUGUUUAUUAAUUGCGUAGUAUGUGAAUCCAUUCAAGCUUGAAUUUAGACCAUAGAGGUCCUUCAACUCAAGGACGAGUUGAAACUAUUUUGAUCUAUUAAGUUUUAGUGGACCUUGUAAUUUGUGCCAGCUUCCAUCGACCAUAACUCUCUGUAUAUGUCGAAUUAGAGAUCCUACUAUGUGUCAAAUGAUAGGUCUUCGAGUUAACUUUCCAACGAUACCAAUUUUGCUAAAAUCCAACACCCGAGCAAGAAGUUAUGGCCUUUCAAAGUAGUAGGCGGCGCCUAUGUAAACAUAGGCGAUAGCAUAGGCACCGCCUAUGUAAGGAAUUCUGGUGACUUAAACACUCCGUUUUUUGGGGCAAAAUGGUCCUUUUCCACCCUUAUUUAGCCAUAAACACGAAAUUCCGUUCCCAAAGACCCUAAAAUAUACCUUCAUUCAUCCAAAUUGUUCAAGAACUCUCUCUAGGGUUUCAAAAUAAAAACCCAAAUAGUUCAAGAUUCAACCAUAGGUUUUCAAAACAAAUUGAAGAUUUGGAAUCUCCGCAAUGUAGGCUUCAAGAAGCACCUAUCAUAUUCGCAUAUAGAGGUACGUGGGGUUAUUCAAAAAUCUCAUGUGUGUAGUUUUUAUGAACAUGCAUGUGUUUAAAUAGGGGUUUUCAAUCAAAUGCUAAUAACUUGCUUUCAAUAUGAUUUCUAAGUCAUUUUCUUUAUGUCAUGGGAAUUGUUUGCCUAUAUACUUCAAUGGUUGAAACCAUGCAUAUGUGAUUUGAGAUUUUCCAUGGAAGUUUGAUAAAUAUGAAUGAUAAAUUGCUUUCAAAUUCCCAUGAUAAUGUCUUGAUACCCCAUAUCAUAUUAUGACCAACAAAAGAGAGUGAAUUUGAAAUAACUAUUGUUCACUACUUGUAAAUAAUGAAGCACCUUGGUUUUUACAUGGUUAUGCAUAUAUGGAAGUGAUAUUGAGGACUUGCAAGUCGGGUAUGACAAUAUGUGAUUGAAUAAGAUGAAAUUUGAAUGCAUUGAUUUUACAUGAGAAAUGUGGAUGCUUGAAGAAGGAGUUUGAGACACAAGGGCUCAUCGCUGGAAAAAUGUGUUUGACGACAUGGAAUAUUGAUACCAUCUAAGUGAUCUUAUGUACUUGGCUUCAUGUCAUUCCGAAAUUGGGACUAUAGGUAGGAGCCCGGGCUAAGUGAUCUUGGGCACUACCAUUGGGUCAAGACACCAUGCUGUGUGAUCUUGUGUGUCUUCCCCUCACGUAUACUCUAAUCUUAGCGGCAACCGGGGUUUGACAGUUGGUGUAAAUUAUGUAGGGUAUUCCACCUAGCUUAGUUGCAUUUCAUUGAUUGUUGAGAAACUAUUGCAUUACACCCAUGUGCUUUCAAAUGAUUUGAUACGAAAUUGCUUUAUAAUGGUUCUCAACUAUAUUUUGUGAAAAUAUUAUGUUUUGUUUUGAUAUAUCUGCGUGCCAGUACUUUUGUGCUGACCCCCUCCCCUCUCCAACCUCACAGGUUCAGAGGCCCAGUCUAGGGGUCAAGAGAAUCAGUAGAUCAUUCAGACAGAGUUGCAGAGACAAGUGGUGAGCCUUCUAUGUUUCGGAAGGUAUUAUGUCCUACAAUCCUUUUAUCUUAUAUUCAGUUUCGGGGGUCUACUGGGGGCCUUGUCCUAGUUUUCAGAUAGACAUUAUUUUAGUCAUGUAGUAGAAAUUUCGUAGACGGUUUUAGAGAUGUUGAUUUAGAUUGUGGGACACUAUUCCCCAUUUUCGUUUUCAUAUGAUUCUUGACCAUGUUUCCGUUAUACUGUGUUUCUUCCGCAUUACUUUGUUCAUAUGAAUUAGGUGCAUGAUUAGAUAGGGGUGUUUCGGGUUUCCAUGGUUUGAAAUGCUCGUCACGGCCAGGCCCUAGUUUGGGUCAUGACAACUAGCUUGUUAAUUGGUACUAAGAUCAAUUAAACAAAAUUAAGGAACAACAAAUAAGAAACUAACAAUCCAAGUUUGAGCUUAAUUUGGAUGGUGAACAGUAACUAUGACGAUGUGUCGGCAUGCAAUUGGUCAUGGUCCUACACAAAAUUUAAUCACCAACUUGAAGUUUAGUCCGUGCAUAAUCUUAUAGUGGAAAACAAUUAGUAUUGAGGGGACAACACAAGUCUUGAAACCUUUUUCAAAUUCCACUCAAAAAGGUGAGAUUUGACAUGUACUAGUCCCACAAAACAAGGUCCAUGAAAUAGGGAAAUGUCAUAACCCAAACCGGGGCCCUGGCCGUGAUGGGAAUCCCGAACCGUGGAGGCCCAAGCGCAUAUAAUAUACUCGGAUCGGUAAAUCACGGUUUUGUAAAAUGAGUUGUCUGAACUCAUGCCUUCUUCGGGGAACCACCUAAGCUCUCUUUAUGCCCAAUUUUAUCCUGUUCUAAAUCAUGCAUUUUUCUAGUUUUAGCCUCUGAAAAGUUUGAUUUCAAACAUGCUUUCUAUUUUGUUCUGAAUUAUCAUGGCAUAAUCUGAAUUGGUGUCAUCACACCAAGACUUGCAAGUCCUAUUUCUGAGCCAUAAUGCAGCAUGCAUAAUUAUUUCAUUAAGACACAGUUCAGACCACCCAAACAUGCAAAUAGUAUAAAAAAUUUCAUAUUCCGAAAUGACAAGUCAAAACUAUGCUGAGAUUAUUCAAAUAUAUGGUGGACAUGCGUUCUUUUGGCAAACCAUGCUACUCUUUGUUAAAUGCAUAUUCAACAUUUAUCAACAUGAAUAACCCUCUCUUUUUAUUUCGAAAUCAUAUUUAAGUCAUAGCAUAAAUCAAGACAUUUCACAUCAUGCUUUCAAAAUGCAAUUUAGAAUAAUUCAUAUCUUAUGAAAGAUGGAAACUAUCAUAACAAGAGAGGGGUUCAUUAUAAUUCAUGCUCUUAAUUUAAUAUUCAUCCUUAAACACAUUCAUACAUAUAUGUAUAUAUAAUUUUUCAAUUAAUUUAGGGGAAGGUAUAAAGACCAAAACAAUACCGUUAAAAACUUCUAAAACAUGAUUAUAUUCAUAAAUCAAAAACCCUUUUCUUAGAACAUGAUUUCUAUGCCCAUGAGAUUUUAGGAAAACCCUGCGUACAUUGAUUGCGGAGAAUAAUGGAUGAUUCUUGAAGCCUAUGGUUUGGGGAUUCCAAAUCUUCAAUCAAUCUCUAAAACUCACGGUUGAAUCUUGAGGGACCUUGAUACUUGGUUGAGACCUUAAGGGUUAGUUUUUGAGGAAAAUUGGAGAAAAGAGUGUAUUUUUGGUGAAUUGGGGACUGAAUUUCGAUGUUUUUGACAAUUGGGGUCAAGGGAAAAGGACCAAAAUGACCCUUGACCCUUCAAAAGAUAAAACUAUGCGGGAAUAGGCUUCACAUCGCGAACCCUAAUUGGGUUAAUUUUCCCUCGCGAUGUGACCCCUAUUCAGGUUAAGCAAAACUCGCGUCGCGGGGCUAUCGCUGCCCCUUACUGCCUUUGAUGGCAUCACUUUUCACUCAGUUAUCGUAAUUUGACAAAAUUGAUAUCGUUGGAAAUAUAAUUUGAAGAGAUUUCAUUUGAUAUAUAGUAGGACCUCUAAUUCAUUAUAUACAAAUAGUUAUGACCAAGUGAAAUUGACUCAAGUUUCGAGGCUCACUCAAACACGUAGGAUAGGAAAGUUUUCAACUCGUCCUUGAGUUUGGGGACCUCUAUCUUCUCAAUUCAUGCUAAAAUAGGUUCCCACACAACAUAAUUGAUUAACAUGCCAAAUUUGAAUAGGAUUUAUGGCUUUUGUAUCAUCUACGCAUUGAAAUGACGGCUUUUAUUCUAGCUCAAAAUGCGGGGUUUUACAUUAUCUCCCCCUUGGGAUCAUUCAUCCUCGAAUGAUGAGUAGGAAUGUUGAAGUAUUUAAGGUAUGGAAUAGAAAGGACAUGAUAUGUCUUCUAAUAAAGAUAUAGGUGAGCUGAAAUAUUUAAACUUCUAUCAUGAAUUGACUUGACUUUUUUUGCUUCAAGAAGCUGAUUCGUGCAGAAAGUUUAGGAUUCCCUCGAAAUGUUAAUGACCCAAUCAUAUAUAUUGAAUUUGGAAGUGAUAAAUUAUCCAAGUAUGAAUCAUAAGGUAGAAAGACUUAGAUCGUACAAGGGUAUUACACUGUCUAACCUAAAAUAUUUGGAAAAAUUUGAGAUUAUGCGCUGAACUCUUAUGAACUGAGUCAUGACUAAAUAGUUGAAUCUGAAACAUGAUGCUUGGACUGAACUGAAUUCAUAAUUUACAUAGAUAGAAUAGAUUAUCUCUUGGGGAUGGUCAUACGCAUGAGAUUCGGGUAGCAGGACUGGGUGAAAAAGGUGGAAAAUCAUAGUAACUUGUCUUCCUGACUGUUGAAUUGAAUUACACUGGAAACUUAUACUUAACUGGAGUAUCUCUUCAACACUGUUUCUAAAGAAGUUCUAGUAACAUCAGAGAGCAAAGAAUCUUGGGAAUGUGUUACACCAAACAUUCAUCUAAGGAAUCACAACAAUGACACCACUCUAUAGCAUGGAAUAUAAACAUAUAACUCAUAAACUAGGAUAGAAUUACCAAGCGUUAGGCAAUGCAACUUCUUACUUUCAAGCUUAGCACACUUCUCGAAUAUUCCUCAACUAUACUAUUCUUCUAAAAUAACAUACCCGUUGUUUCAAAUUGUAAUCUUCAAAUGGGCAUUGAUAAAUCUUUCUACUAAUGUCUAAAGUAGCUUAAAUCCUUUCACCGUGAUCAAGCGUAUCUCUAAAUCACAAAAUACAACAUGCCACACUAUGAUACUAGUCCAAACCAUAUUAUUCAACUUUCUAUACUUUUAAAGUUCACACCCUACGCAUAUUGUGCCUUACCACUUCAACGACUAACUCUGAUCUCUUACUAUGGAUUCAAUAGCGCAUAUUGCAUUCCUCCACUUAAAUCCCAACACGUCAUUCAAGCCUAUUUUUACAACCAUAUAUGCUUCAAGGCAAACACCCAUAAACACAUACUUUGUAUAUUCCCGAAACCACUACCAAUACAACUUCCACUCGCUACCCCAAGAACAUACACACACAAAUUUCAACUAACUAUCACAUGUAUCAAAGACUUCGCCCCCGAUCUUACUUCACACUUAUCGCUUUAUCUAAAACAAGCAUACUAUGAUCUUCCAUCAACAAGAAACAUGUGAUAAUCACCACAAUAAUUACAUAAGGAGGAUUCACAAAAAGGUUAGAACAUAAGACCUUGAAGCAUGGAAGAAUACUAUAUGUGGCUUGACACAUAACUGAGGCCAAGGAAUAGCAAAUCAGGAUUCAUCAAAGUGAUCUGAAUCGAGAGUAUACCUGUCUAUAAGCUAAAUCUAGCCAAUCAUUUGGCAUGUAGCAUGAGUUAUGGGAACUGAGCACACUAUAAAGCGUGAGUACCUAGGUCAUAAGCUGCAUGACCUUAAUUUGGAGUUCAUAACUUAUGGAAUGUGAUCCGGACUACUGAAUGAACUGGAAUUCCUCAUUUAGGAAUUGGAAGAGCACGUGAUUCUCUAUCAUAUACAUGAACAUAAACUAUUAUCAUGGAACUGAAAUGUGAGGCUUGAGUAGAUAUUGGGAUGACUGAAAAAUACUGAGAUAAGACUGGGUUGAGUCUCAGUAAUACCCCAAUCAUUUUUUAAGCUUAAAUCCAUCUUUUGAGUGGAUAUGUAUGACUUCCAAAGUGAUUGAUGUUUAAAAGAUGUUGUAUUUAUAUAAUUUCUACUUUUUUUCAUGUAUAUGAUUGAAUAAUAUUUCCAUUGAUACCAAUUUCAUUGAGAUCCGACAUCGGAUGAGGGAGUUAUGGUCAUUUUAUUGAACGAUGUCGGAUCACCCAAGUUUGAUGAUCGACCUGGCAGAAUGUCAGGUUCCUGGUGGACCAUCAAUUACCCCGUCAAGCCAAGGCAGUGACUCCUUUUUCAAGCCAUCGUACGACUGUCAAGUUGGUGGACCGUCACAAAGUUGACGGACCAUCAAAGGGUCCAUCAGGUCGAGACAGAAUGUCUCAUUUCUGGCCCUCGAGUGACGGAAAACUUGGUGGUUCAUCAGUUUCCUGAUGGACCAUCACUUUGACCAUCACAUCAAGGCAAAAUGUUCCAAUUUUGGCACUUGAGUGACGGAUGAUCUGGUGGACCAUCAGGAAACUUGAUGGACCGUCAGAUCGACCAUCACAGGCCUCGAUCAGCGAAUUUCAGCUUUUUCAAAAGGCAUUUUGGUCAUUUCCACCCUAUAAGGUCUUAUAUAUAUAUCCUAGUAGAGAAGAGCCCUUUAUUUUCUCCUUUCCUCUACCAAGAAACAUCUAGAAAUUAGGAUUUCUUCCCAAACCCAAAAAUUCAAUUUUCUUCCAAGAAAUUCAAAAAUCUUCCAAAGAGAUUCUCAACAAUGCUAUAAAGAAGUUUAUAUCAGGUUUAUUCAUCUCCAAAAUUAUAAUCUAAGGUAUGUGGGGUUUGAACAAGAACACUCCUUUCAUUCUUGUGCCUAAAGAUUUACUUUUUAUUACUGAGUUACAUGAUUUUGCAAGUGGGUUUACACCUAAAUUUCUUUAUUUAUGAUUUAUGAGAUUUGAGUUGAAUAAAUUUGAUAUUUAUUAUUAUUUCACCAUCAUGUUUCUGAAAUUGAGAAUUUAUUCCAUGAGUUGCAUAUUGUCAUUACGUAUUGAUGAUUUCUAAGCGAUUUAAGGAAAGUGUCAUGAGUUAUGACUUUCCAUGAAAAAUUUUACUAUUGAAUAUAUCUCGAUAUUUGAGAUUGAAAGUCGAGAAUGAGUCCUAUGAUAUUUCCUUGAAGCUUUUAAUAUUUGAAAUAAUUUGAUAAGCAAAGGUACUUGAUGUUGAGAAAGACUGUUUUGAUUUUGAGUCAAGUUAGGAAUCCACAGUUGUUCAUGAUUUACAGAUGAGAUAUAUUUAUGUUUUGGUAUCUAUGAUAGACCCAUGAGUUGAUAUUGAUUAAGGUGGAUUUCUUAACGCGUUCUGAGCUGAGUCUGGGAGGAGUAUUUAGCACCGAGUGGAAAAUAUGGUAUUUUCUCGAAACUACGUGCCACCGUAGGAUUGAUAUUGAUGGUUGUGGGACAGAGGCUGAAUAUGGGAUUGUGAUUGAGAAAUUAAGGUUGUACUCCUUGGCAAGAGUACGACACCCCCGCCAAUGUGGGGUUCUCUCCUUAGGAGGGAAAAAUGUUGGACUCUAUGAGGCUCACAUGGUGUAGUUAUGUCGGUUAUAAAAAACUCCCACAUCUAUAAUGAUCUAAGUACCAUGAGUUACCGAGUCACUCUAAGUCAUGAUUCAAAGAGUUUGAGUUGAGAUAAAUGAUUUACAAGAUUUAUGAAGAAUAUAUUAUACUGAUGACUUUCAGAAAUAAUGUUUUAGAUAUUUCAAGCGAAGAGAGUUGUUAUUGUCAACAUGCAUGAUUUUCUUAUACAUUUAUGAUAUUAUUUAAAAUGUUGUAUCCACCCCCAUAUACUCAGUACAUUCCCAAGUACUGACUCUCAUACUCUUUUGUACUUUAUAUUUCCUCAUGAUAUAGGUUUAGGUUCUCAGUCUCAUCAGCGACAGUGAUCUUUGAGUACCUUCAUCUUCAUUUUCGCGGUUGGUGAGUCCUCAUGGUUCGUGGACCUGUGUCUUUAUUUUUAUAUUGUUAAUAGAUGGUUGUUUACUUUCAGUUCAGUAUGAGUCAGUUGGGGAUCUAUCCUAAUGGCUCCUCGGUCCUAUGAAGUAGAGGCUUUGUCAGACUAGUAUGACAGCAGUACAAAACCGUAUUACUUCGUAUCUCAGUAUGUUUAUGGCAUGAUUAUUCUUCCCUACUUUAUGAUGAUUCGUGUUGUAGAGAGUUCUGAAGGUAAUGAUAGGCUUAGAGGGUUAGCUUGAGGCCACGUGUGGCCUUGAGCACCAUGUGAUGUCUCGGGAUAGGUUCUCGGGGCAUUACAAGCUUGGUAUCAGAGCCUAAGGUUCUAGGAGUCCUAGGGAGUCUUACAAGCCGCGUUACAUAGAGUCUUGAUCAUCAGUGUGUAGCGCAUCACAUCAAUAAGCAAGAGGCUAUGGGACAUAUUAGGAAAAGUUGUUUCUUUCUUUCAAAAGUGUAUCGUGCCUAUGACUAUUUCUCUCUUCUAUUAAUUUGUGCCCUCUUAUGAUAGAAAAUGACUCCUCGUAGAGCUCAUAAAAAUAACGAACGACCUCAACCAGUUGAUCCUUUAGGUGAGACGGUGUCCCAUGCUAAAUUUCGGGCAGCUUUCCAAGCGCUAGCCUAGGAGGUCACCGCCAAUGCCCAAGCCAAUACCUAGGCUACUAUUCUACCUCCACAAGGGAAUAAUUCUGCUGCAGCCCGGGCUUAUGACUUUAUGCGAAUAAAUCCACCUGAGUUCUUUGGGUCAAAAGUAGGUGAAGACCCGCAAAUGUACUUAGAUAAAGUAAGAAAGAUCACUCAGAUUAUGCAUGUGACUGAGAAAGAGAGUGUUGAAUUAGCUGCUUAUAGAAUAAAAGAUGUUGCUUAUGAUUGGGUGGAGAUGUGGAAGAAAAGUAGAGGAGAGAAUGAUGCUUCUGUGACUUGGCAAUUAUUCCAAGAUGCCUUCUUAGACAGAUUAUUUUCCUUAGAGCUGAGGGAAGCAAAAUUAGAAGAAUUUAUGAACUUGACACAAGACCCCAUGACAGUUAAGGAGUAUUGCCAUAAGUUUACCAGUUAUCUAAGUAUGCUCCUGGUAUAAUGGCUGAUUUUAGAACUAGUAUGAGUAAGUUCUUGGCUGGUAUAUCUGGUUAUGUUAUGAAAGAGUAUAGAUCCGCUAUGCUUAAUAGGGACAUGGACCUUUCAAGACUAAUGGUUCAUGCUCAACAGAUCAAAGCAGACAAAGUAAAGAAGAGAGAGAGAGAGUGAGAGGGAAUAAAAGAGUUAGAUCAGAGCAGCAGAGGUAUAGUCAGGCUAGAUUGUUUUGAGGGAUCCUUCCUCAGUUCCAGAGCCGUUCACUUAUGCCAGCGCCUUCAUCAGCUAGUACUCUUGCAUUUAGAAUUAGGCUGGAGCAGGGUAAUAGGCCUAAUAUGUCCAGGUCCCAGGAUAGUGUGAGUAACAGACCUCAUCCUCCCCCAUGUCCGAAGUGCGGUAGAGACCAUCUCGAUGAGUGGUUAUUUGGUCAGAGGGGUUGUUUUGGUUGCGGUAAGUUGGGCCACAAGUUUAAAGAUUUCCCAUAUACUAGACAGGAGAGUCACGAUGUUCGUCCUCAGAGUUAGACUAUUAGUGCUCCAUCCUCUGUAGUUCGUCCUACCCCUCUUUAGGGUGCCUCAUCUAGUACUGUAGGUGGCCAGAGGGAAAAUUACUUUUAUGCUAUACCACCCCACCAGGAGUAGGAGGAUUCACCAGAUAUUACUGGUACAUUUUGUGUAUUUCAUUUUGAUGUGUAUGUGUUGUUGGACCCUGGGUCAAGUCUUUCUUAUGUGACUCUGUUGGUGGCUGUGAAUUUUGAAAUCAGUGCUGAAAAGAUUUUUGAGCCUUUUCUAGUCUCUACACCAGUGGGUUAAUCUGUUGUUGCUAAGCAAGUAUAUAAGAAGUGUCCUCUCACUGUUCUUAACAGAGUCAUGUUUGCAGAUUUGAUUGAGCUAGACAUGGUUGAUUUUGAUAUUAUUUUGGGUAUGGAUUGGCUUCACUCUUGUUAUGCGUCUAUAGACUAUUGUACCCGAGUAGUCAAGUUUUAGUUUCGUAAUGAGCCAGUCUUUGAGUGGUUAGGAAAUUCUGUAUCUCCUAAAAGUCAUUUCAUAUCCUAUCUUAAAGCUAGGAAAUUGAUAUCCAAGGGUUGUAUCUAUCAUUUAGUCCAAGUUAAGGACACUAAGUUUGAGACUCCAACUAUUCAGUCUCUUAGUGUUUUACAUGAGUUUCCUGAUGUUUUCUCGGAAGAUCUCCCAGGGGUACCUCCCGAUAGAGAGAUAGAAUUCAGAAUUGAUCUUCUUCCUGAUACACAGCCUAUUUCUAUUCCUCCAUAUCGUAUGGCCUCCGCAGAACUUAAGAAGUUGAAAGAGCAACUCAAAGAUCUUCUUGAUAAGGGUUUAAUAAGGCCUAGUGUGUCUCCCUGGGUUGCACCCAUGCUAUUCGUACGAAAUAAAGAUAGUUCAUUGCGUAUGUGCAUUGACUAUCGUCAGCUUAACAAGGUCAUAGUUUACUUCUCAGUUUUGGAGAGCCUUUCAGUAGGGUCUUGGCACCUAAGUUUAUCUUAGCUCCACUUUUCAUCCGCAGACAGAUGGUCAGGCUGAGAGGAAUAUCCAAACUUUGGAGGAUAUGUUGAGGACAUCUAUUCCUGAUUUCAAAGGAAGUUGGGAUGAACAUUUGCCGUUGAUUGAAUUUGCUUACAACAAUAGUUUUCAUGCUAGCAUUGGAAUGGCUUCAUUUGAAGCUUUGUAUAAGAGAAGAUGUAGAUCGCCCAUAGGUUGGUUCGAAGUGGGUGAAGCUGUUGUGAUUGGACCUGAUGCUGUAUUUGAGGCUAUGGAGAAAUUUAAGUUAAUUCGGGAGAGGUUAAAGACAACCCAGAGUCAUCAGAAGUCGUACGCAGAUAUGAGAAGAAGAGCUCUUGAGUUUGAAGCUGGUGAUAUGGUGUACUUAAAAGUUUCACCCAUGAAAGGGGUGAAAAGACUUGGAAAGAAAGGAAAGCUGAGUCCUAGAUAUGUUGGCCCUUAUAGAGUUUUGAAUCGUGUUGGGAAAGCAUCUUAUGAGAUUGAGUUGCCUGCAGAGUUGUCAGCUGUCCAUCCUGUGUUUCAUGUUUCUAUGCUCAAGAAGCACAUUGGAGACUCUGUUGUUGUUGAUCCGUCGGAAGGUUGUGAUGCUCAGUAUAGCCUUUCAUAUGAUUAAAUCCCGGUUGAAAUACUAGAUUAUCAAGUCCAUAGACUGAGGAACACGGAAGUUCCCUUGGUUAAAGUUCUGUGGAGAAAUCAAUCAGUAGAGGGUGCCACUUGGGAAACAGAAGUAGAUAUACGAGCUAGUUACCCUCAUCUUUUCUCCGUGAGUCCAAAUCAAGCUGAAUGUACUAUUCCCCUAAUUUAGUUUUCUCCUAAUCUAAUGUAUUCAGCUAUAUGGUUAUUCCCUCUAUGAUUCGUGCAUUUAGUGAAGUACUCAAAAGUUUAGAGUAAAGUGAGCCCUUAGGUGUGAGUCUUUCCAGCUAUACAUCCUCAUUGUCUCUUGUUCUUGGCCUAUUUUGCAACAUUAGAGGAUGAAUGUGUCCAAGGGGGAGAUAUUGUAACACCCCGAUCAUUUCUUAAGCCUAAAAUCAUCUUUUGAGUGGAUAUGUAUGACUUCCAAAGUGAUUGAUGUUUAAACCAUGUUUUAUUUCUCUAAUUUCUACUUUAUUUCAUGUAGAGCAUUGAAUAAUCUUUCCAUUGUUACCAAUUUCAUUGAGAUCCGACAUCGGACGAGGGAGUUAUGGUCGUUUUACUGAAUGGUGUCGGAUCGCCCAGGUUUGACGGUCGACCUAGCAGACCGUCAGGUUCCAAGUGGACCAUCAAGUACCCCAUCAAGCCAAGGCAGUUACUCCUUUUGUAGGCCAUCAUGCGACGGCCAAGUUGGUGGACCGUCAAAAAGUUGACGGACCGUUAAGGGGUCCGUCGGGUCGAGACAGAAUGUCUCAUUUCUGGCCCUCGAGUGAUGGAUAACUUGGUGGUCCGUCAGUUUCCUGAAGCACCAUCACUUCGAUUGUCACGUCGAGGUAGAACGUUCCAGUUUUGGCACCCGAGUGACAACGAUCUGGUGGACCGUCAGGAGACUUGACGGACCAUCAGAUUGACCGUCACAGGCCCCGAUCAGCAAAUUUCAGCUUUUUCAAAAGGGCAUUUUGGUCAUUUAUGCCCCAUAAGGUCUUAUAUAUAUAUAUAUAUAUCCUAGUAGAGAAGAGCCCUUCAUUUUCUCCUUUCCUCUACCAAUAAACAUCUAGAAAUUAGGGUUUCUUCCAAAACCCAAAAAUUCAAUCUUCUUCCAAGAAAUUCAAGAAUCUUCCAUAGAGAUUCAAAGUGAUCCAAGAAUGAAGCUUUCCUAAUUAAAGGAAUCAAGAAAUAUAGCUCAAGAAUGCUAUAAAGAAGUUUAUAUCAAGUUUCUACAUCUCCAAAAUUAUAAUCUAAGGUAUGUGGGGCUUGAACAAGAACACUCCUUUCGUUCUUGUGUCUAAAGAUUUACUUUCUAUUACUGAGUUACAUGAUUUUGCACGUGGGUUUACAUCCAAAUUUCUUUAUUUAUGAUUUAUGAGAUUUGAGUUGAAUAAGUUUGAUAUUUAUGAUUAUUUCACCAUCAUGUUUCUGAAAUUGAGAAUUUAUUCCAUGAGCUGCGUAUUGUCAUUACAUAUUGAUGAUUUCUAAGCGAUUUUAGGCAAGUGUCAUGAGUUAUACCUUUCCAUGAGAAAUUUGACUAUUGAAUAUGUAUCAAUAUUUGAGAUUGAAAGUCGAAAAUGAGUCCUAUGAUGUUUCCUUGAAGAUUUUGAUAUUUGAAAUAAUUUGAUAAGCAAAGAUACUUGAUGUUGAGAAAUAUUGUUUUGAUUUUGAGUCGAGUUAGGAAUCCACAAUUGUUCAUGAUUUACAGAUGAGAUAUAUUUAUGUUUUGGUCUCUAUUAUAGACCCAUGAGUUGAUAUUGAUUAAGGUGGAUUUCUUAACGCGUUUUGAGCUGAGUCUGGGAGGAGUAUUUAGCACCGAGUGGGAAAUGUGGUAUUUCUCCAAAACUACGUGCCACCAUAGGAUUGAUAUUGAUGAUUGUGGGAUAGAGGCCGAGUAUGGGAUUGUGAUUGAGAAAUUGAGGUGUUACUCCUUGGAAAGAGUAUGACACCCCCGCCAAUGUGGGGUUCUCUCCUUAGGAGGGCAAAAUGUUGGACUCCAUGCGGUUCACAUGGUGUAGUUAUGUCGGUUAUAAGAAACUCCCACUUUCAUAAUGAUCUAAGUACCAUGAGUUACCGAGUCACUCUAAGUCAUGAGUCAAAGAGUUUGAGUUGAGAUAAAUGAUUUACGAGAUUUAUGAAGUAUAAACUAUUACUGAUGACUUUCGAAAAUGAUGUUUUAGAUAAUUCAAGCGAAGAGAGUUGUUGUUGUCAGCAUGCAUGAUUUUCUUAUACAUUUAUGAUAUUAUUUAAAAUGUUGCAUCCACCUCCACAUACUCAGUACAUUCCCAAGUACUAACUCUCAUUCUUUUUUGUACUCUAUAUUACCUCAUGAUAUAGGUUCAGGUGCUCAGUCU
rnacentral:lncRNA from 1 species